rnacentral:rRNA from 1 species
CAGCAGCCGCGGUAAUACGUAGGUGGCAAGCGUUAUCCGGAAUUACUGGGCGUAAAGCGUGCGCAGGCGGUUUUGUAAGACUGGCGUGAAAUCCCCGGGCUCAACCUGGGAAUGGCGCUUGUGACUGCAAAGCUAGAGUGCGGCAGAGGGGGAUGGAAUUCCGCGUGUAGCAGUGAAAUGCGUAGAUAUGCGGAGGAACACCGAUGGCGAAGGCAAUCCCCUGGGCCUGCACUGACGCUCAUGCACGAAAGCGUGGGGAGCAAACAGGAUUAGAUACCCCUGUAGUCCCUGUCUCUUAUAC